UACGUAGGGUGCAAGCGUUAAUCGGAAUUACUGGGCGUAAAGCGUGCGCAGGCGGUUUUGUAAGUCUGUCGUGAAAUCCCCGGGCUCAACCUGGGAAUUGCGAUGGAGACUGCAAGGCUAGAAUCUGGCAGAGGGGGUAGAAUUCCACGUGUAGCAGUGAAAUGCGUAGAGAUGUGGAGGAACACCGAUGGCGAAGGCAGCCCCUGGGUCAAGAUUGACGCUCAUGCACGAAAGGCGUGGGAGCAAACAGG
rnacentral:rRNA from 1 species